rnacentral:rRNA from 1 species
UACGGAGGAUCCAAGCGUUAUCCGGAUUCAUUGGGUUUAAAGGGUGCGUAGGCGGACUGAUAAGUCAGCGGUGAAAUCUCUCGGCUUAACCGAGAAACUGCCGUUGAUACUGUCAGUCUUGAGUACAGAUGAUGUGGGCGGAAUAUGACAUGUAGUGGUGAAAUACUUAGAUAUGUCAUAGAACACCGAUUGCGAAGGCAGCCCACAAAACUGUCACUGACGCUGAGGCACGAAAGCGUGGGGAUCAAACAGG